UACGUAGGGUGCGAGCGUUAAUCGGAAUUACUGGGCGUAAAGCGUGCGCAGGCGGUUCGUUGUGUCGGCGGUGAAAGCCCCGGGCUUAACCUGGGAAUGGCCGUUGAAACUGGCGGACUCGAGUAUGGCAGAGGGGGGUAGAAUUCCACGUGUAGCAGUGAAAUGCGUAGAGAUGUGGAGGAAUACCGAUGGCGAAGGCAGCCCCCUGGGCCAAUACUGACGCUCAUGCACGAAAGCGUGGGGAGCAAACAGG
rnacentral:rRNA from 1 species